UAUACUUGCUUAUUUAAGACUAACGGGUAAGGCUAUUUUAGUGUCAGGAAGUGUUUAGGUUUAGAAAAUAUAGACUAUUUUAGUAGUUAGGUUUUUAAAUAGAAUGACUUGUUUAAUUAGAAAUUUAUGCAAAAUACGUGUUUAUUUUUUAUAGGCGACCGAUUUCGUGCCAAAAAAAAUAGUGGAUUAGCAUUGCAAGGUGAUGAUAUUUAUGAAGAUGAGACUGCAGGACAGGACUUGACUCCAGGAGACAAGGCUGAGACCUAGACAGAUUUUGCUAUGAUUAUUUCUAUGGUUUAAAUAAAUUAUUUUGAUAAGCACAUAAGACUUCUGUAUUUUUUUUUAAUAAAUGCUUCCGCAGACUUUA